rnacentral:rRNA from 1 species
UGAUGUGGUUAAUUCGAUGCAACGCGAAAACCUUACCACCUUGACAUGGCAGGAAUCCCGAAGAGAUUGGGAGUGCUCGAAAGAGAACCUGCACACAGGUGCUGCAUGGCUGUCGUCAGCUCGUGUCGUGAGAUGUUGGGUUAAGUCCCGCAACGAGCGCAACCCUUGCCAUUAGUUGCUACGAAAGGGCACUCUAAUGGGACUGCCGGUGACAAACCGGAGGAAGGUGGGGAUGACGUCAAGUCCUCAUGGCCCUUAUAGGUGGGGCUACACACGUCAUACAAUGGCCGGUACAGAGGGUAGCCAACCCGCGAGGGGGAGCCAAUCCCACAAAGCCGGUCGUAGUCCGGAUCGCAGUCUGCAACUCGACUGCGUGAAGUCGGAAUCGCUAGUAAUCGCGGAUCAGCAUGUCGCGGUGAAUACGUUCCCGGGUCUU